rnacentral:rRNA from 1 species
CCUACGGGUUGCAGCAGUGGGGAAUAUUGCACAAUGGGCGGAAGCCUGAUGCAGCGACGCCGCGUGGGGGAUGACGGCCUUCGGAUUGUAAACUCCUUUCGACCGCGAGGAAGCCGCCUGGCUGGAAGGGUGGUGACGGUAGUGGUAGAAGAAGCACCGGCUAACUACGUGCCAGCAGCCGCGGUAAUACGUAGGGUGCGAGCGUUGUCCGGAUUUACUGGGCGUAAAGAGCUCGUAGGUGGCUUGUCGCGUCGUCUGUGAAAGUCCGGGGCUUAACUCCGGGUGUGCAGGCGAUACGAGCUGGCUUGAGUGCUGUAGGGGAGACUGGAAUUCCUGGUGUAGCGGUGGAAUGCGCAGAUAUCAGGAGGAACACCGAUGGCGAAGGCAGGUCUCUGGGCAGUCACUGACGCUGAGGAGCGAGAGCAUGGGUAGCGAACAGGAUUAGAUACCCCCGUAGUC